rnacentral:rRNA from 1 species
UACGUAGGGUGCGAGCGUUGUCCGGAAUUACUGGGCGUAAAGAGCUCGUAGGUGGUUUGUCACGUUGUCCGUGAAAACUCACAGCUUAACUGUGGGCGUGCGGGCGAUACGGGCAGACUGGAGUACUGUAGGGGAGACUGGAAUCCCUGGUGUAGCGGUGGAAUGCGCAGAUAUCAGGAGGAACACCGGUGGCGAAGGCGGGUCUCUGGGCAACAACUGACGCUGAGGAGCGAAAGCGUGGGGAGCGAACAGG